rnacentral:lncRNA from 1 species
AAGCAAUCUUUCUGCCUUGGCCUCCCAAAGCACUGGGGUUACAGGCAUGAGCCACCAUGCCUGGCCCCAUGUCCUGUUUCUAAACUAAUAAUUAGCAAGGUAAGGCAAAAACGGUCCUUUUACCUGUAUUUGAGCUCACAUCUACGGAGGCUUCAACAGAACAAUUCCAUGUCCUAUUUUUGGAAGAAAGCUCCAAUUUCUAGCCCUAGUUUUCAGUGUUGUGGAGUAGUUUUAUUUCCUGUCUUUCGUAUUUUUUUUUUAAAAAAAGCUUCUCCAACAUUUUAGUUGCAAUCUGAGACAGUCUGUUUCAGAGACAAAAUUUUACAGCCAGAUGCUCCAGUGUGAGCCGCUGCAGUUUGUUUCUAAGGAUGAUCAGUAACGAAUGGGGAAUGCUUGUCAUUUGCUCAAAUAUUGUGAAGUCUUGUCUUUUCUUGGGCACAUGCACACUUUUAUAGGCAAGGUUUCAUCCAUCCGUAAUGCCUGCUGGGACAACUGGGAGAACAGGUCAGUCAUUUGCAGAAACAGACCUAAAACCCUAAGGCCUAGGAGCCAUCACAGCCCCCACCCCAUCUGGACAUUAACAAGACACACAGGGUGGGGAAAGAAGGCAAAUGGGAGUGCAGUGGAGUCAGGAGAUAGGCAACUCUGGGCCUCCACUUCCGUGGGGGAUUUUAAUAAUCUCCCUGGAGUCACAGUGGGUUGUUAUAAGGAGGCAGAGGGAAGGUAGGAUGGUUCUGAUACAGAAAAUAGCUCCUCAGUGGGACAGGGGAGAUGACAGCAGAGAAGCUUUCAACCACCUUUUUUUUUGUGAUGCCACAAGUCUCUGCAGCUCACCUGUAUAGCGCUAUUGCUCUAUUCCACGUGACAAAACAUGAGUCACCUGCUCAAUUAGUUUCAUUCAGUCCAUUAUCCCUAUAGCUAGGGAGAGCUCUCUCCCAUAAACUGGCAAAUCAUUGUUCAAUAUAUUUAAUCUUAAUAUGGUUGAUCCUUCCUUUUCUUUCUUUUUACCUCUCUUCCUCUCUCCAUCCUUCUUAUUCAUCCAUCCACCUAUCUAUCCAUCCAUUUACCUGAAGGUAUGUUGACCAUCUACUUUGUGUCAGGUACUAUUCCAAGCACUUAAUAUACAAUAUCUGAUUAAAUUUUAACAAUACCCUGGAAGUUAGCUCUUAAUAUUCUUUAUGAAUAUUAUAUGAGGUUUAGAGAGUUUAUGUGUCUUGUCCAAGAUUCAGCAAAAUUCAGCCCAUGGGCUAAAUUCAACCUAUUUUUGUAAAUAAAGUUUAGUUGGAACAUAUCCAUGCCCAUUUGUUUACGUAUGACACAAUUUCAGCAGAGUGGAGUAGUUACAACAGAGACCAUUUGGUCCACAAAUGCUAACAUAUUUACUAACUGGCCCUUAACUGAAAAAGUUUGCCAACCCCUGUUCUUGCCCAGUAAUACUUAGCAAGAAAGUAGCAGAGUCAAAGAUUCAAACCCAGAUCUAUUUAACUCAAAAGGCCAUAAUUCUUCAAUGCUGUGUCAUGCAACAGAAGUAUGUGAGUUUUGUCUACAUGACUUCUUGACACCUAGGGUGAGAUGGCCAGGCUAGAUUUAUGGUAAGAGGAACAGAUCUGACAUAUAUUACUUAGUAAGUAGCCAAUUACUGUGGAAGACUCUCUUCAUUUGUAAGAAAAGCCAGUGAGGAUGCUUUUUUUUUUUUUCCUGGUGAAGUAAUUAUAGAGACGAGUGUUGAUGCAUGUUUUGACUUUGCUGCAAAAGUAGUUCUGUCUUCUCCAGUUUAAGUAAUUACAUUAGUUUCUAAAUAGAGCAGAUGGAACUAUAGUUGUCAAAGAAUGCAAAGAUCAGUCAACUGCAUUUAUGGUGUGACAUUCUAAGCAGAGAUACCGCAAAGUAUCUUGUGCAAAACCAACUAGGUGAGUGCUAUUGAGCACCUGUGAGCCAGAAGAAAACAGGAGAAAAAUGUGGCUAAAUGGAAAUGGAAAUUUCUACACAAUGGGAUCUGGUGGCAAACACAUUUUCCUACCAUAAUGCCCCAACAAUUGCUUGUUUUCUAAUGUUGCCUGGUUGGGGGAAGAUAUAUUCUGAGUGUUCCUCCAAACUUGUAGAACUCAAUUUUUCUGGGGGAGAGGGUUGUCCUAAGAUGGUCUGCUUGGUACUCAGAGUGCAAAGAUGUCUCCUGCAAGAAGCAAGCAGCUUAUGAAGGAAGCAAUGACUUAAAGCAGACACGUUACCUCUAAAGAACAGGGAGAAGAUCAAAUCCAGAACCAGGCAGUAGUAAUAAGGGAACUGACCUGGCAAUAGGCCAAGGAUCCAAACGACAUGGGAACCAGGCAUGAUUCAAAACAGCCACUGCUGAACACCUACACCAAUGGGGGGAAAAAUGAUACUCUUAGCGUUAGAGUCCACAACUGCUACAGAGUCUCAGCUGUGAUUUCUACUGCCGGGUGUCCCCAUAGAAGUCUGCAUCCCAACCCCUGAGACCUGUGAAUAUGUUACCUUACUUAGCAAAAGGGACUUUGCAGAUAUAAUUAAGCUAAAGAUCUUGAGAUGGGGAGAUUAUUCUUCAUUUUUUGGGUGGGCUCAGUGUAAUCACAAGUGUCCUUGUAAAUGAAAGUGGGAGGUAAGAGGGUCAGAGUCAGAGAGAGAUGUCAAGAUGCUACACUGCUACCUUUGAAGAUAGAGGAAGGGGCCAUGAGCCAAGCAGUGCAGACAGCUUCUAGGAGCUAGAAAAAGUCAGCCGACAGAUUCUGUCCCAGAACCUCUAGAACCAACACAUCCAGGCAACACCUUGAUUUUAGCCCAGUGAAACCCAUUUCAGACAUCUGACUCCCAGAAGGCCAGAAGAUAAUAAAUUUGUGUGGUUUCAAGCCACUAUGUCUAUGGUAAUUUGUUAUAGCAGCAAUGAUAAACUAAUACAACAGCCCUGACUUGGGGGGAGGGUAAAGGAAAGAGCCACACACCACCACCCUCUCACCAUGGGAGGAAUAGUUGAAAUGAACACAUGACUUCAGGUCCCCAACAAAGAGCUGAAUGGGUUUCAGGCUAGCUUGCUAAUUCAUUCACCAAUUCUCAGCUCUGGUGUUGCUUGAUUCAGAAGGUAAAGACAAUUUUUAAAUUUCCUUAAUUUCAAAACUUAAUUCAUCCAAUGCAUUUAAUUUAAAAUCAUACAUUAUUUAUCCACAAAUCCUGAUACACAGGGAAAGAAACAGAAAUAUUUGCUGGACAGGUGGCAUGGAAACAAAGGGUUAUUAGCGAUUGCCAUGCAGGCCUAAGUGAAUUCACAAUGACCAUCAUGACAUCAUGUCUGUUGUUACUAUCAAGAGCGUUGCUCUUGGAUAAGUAUCAAUAACCUCAGAACUAUGGAAAGAACCAUGUGUGGAGUUUGGCACCACAGAUAUUCUCUGAGUGAUUGAAGUCUCUUCUACCAUGAGGCCUUGAAAGCUCCAUGAUAGAGAUGACAGAGCUAUAAGAUGAAAGCAGCCCAAAUCCCUGAGUCACCAAUGUUUGAAGAAGAGCUUCCCAGGAGAGGUACCAGACCCACAUGAGACUUCACAUGAUUAUAAAAUGAACUUCUAUUGUGUUGAAUCUCUGAACUUCAGGGUUGUUUUGCAGCACAGACUACAUUAUAGUGACAAGUAGAGGAAGGUACAGUAAAAGCCUUGCCAUCACUCCCAUUAUACAGAGGAAGAAACUGAGACCUAGAGAAGUUCAGAACCUUGCUACAUCAAUCAGAAGUACAAGCCAAGGCUCAUGAAGUGGUUUCCUUAUUUUCUCACCCCAAGUUAGUAAGUCUGUAACUUCUCCUUCACAGUGCAAUUUGUCACGCAGUCUAUGGCACUGUAGAAUUUGGCUAUAGAUCCCUAAGUCAGAAAAGUCCAUGUUUGGAGAACUACUAGUAAGUCAAGACAGAGGAGUGUGACAAAGGCUGACAAAACCCUACCUGCAGCCUGGAGGUCACAGGCAGCCUGCUUUUUGAGUCUCCCUGAAUGGAGGGGAAGGGGCUCUCCCUGAGGGAAUGUGCUCAACUCUGGGUCGUGUGGAAGAGUUAGGAAGUUAACACUCCAUGAGCGACCCUCAUCCAAUGUCGGCUGGGAAUGGGUGGAUAAAUACCCUAACUUUCUAAGGUAUAUGUGUGUCCAGCAGGGCCUCCAGUGGGGAUGAACCACAGUUGGCCACAAUGGUAACCUGCCCAUUAACACACCCUUCAUUGGUCUUUAUUCCCUUCCCUGAGCCUUCACUGUGUUUUCAGGGAUCACCUCCGAAGGAAAUGACUUACACCCAAAUCAGGAUCUGUUUUUGAGGGAACCCAACAUAACACAUGGAGAGAUGGGUUUCCUAUGAAGAAGGAAAUAUGGGCUGUAAAAUACCACGGAGAGUCAGAGUAAGUACAGGCGGCUACAACAAAGAUAGAUCAGGUCACGGAGGUCUCUGGGAAUAGAGGAAAGCCACCCAGAGGAAAAAAGGACAUGACUGCCACUAGCACCAUAUGUAUGUUUCAGAUGGGAUGUGUAUUUAUGUGUGUGUGUGUGUGUGUGUGUGUGUGUGUGUGUGUGUAGGGAGGGGUGACAGAGAGAGAGAGGCAGAAUAAAUAUCUUGGUCAUUGGUUACAAGCCAACAAAACUGAAGUGAUGAAACUCAGUGAGUUUUAUAGAAAUGUGCUGGAGAUGCUUCAAUUACUUUCUCAAUAGGUCUAUUUUGAUAACUGAAUGAAAAGAAUCCAUGUGAAGCACCUACCACUCUUCCUGGCUUGUAGUGAACACACAAAAAGAAUUGUUGAUUAUUGUAGUAGACACUGUAGUGUACCUCCUAGAUUCUCCUUACCCAGCCACUAUACCCAUCCCCAUUGCUGUGAGGUCAGGUGCCCAGGAAUCACAGCAUCCCACCCACCCUUCCCUUGCUCCAGGCAAUGCCCUCAACUGGUAGGUGUCACUUUGCCCAGAAACUACCAUUCUUCUCCAGGGGACCCACGGCCAAGGGCAAACUGGCAUAGGCUAUGCAAGGCUGGCCCCUGGCAGAAUGUAUGUGGAAGGGGCAACUCUUCAGUGUGCUUUAUGGACCAUGGACCAAAUCCAGCUCUCCAUUUGCUUUUGUAAAUUGUUAUUGGAACACAGCCACCCCAUUCCUUUUUGAAUUGUCCAUGGCUGCUUUCCUGCUACAACAGAAGUUGAGUUAUUGCAACAGAGGUCGUCUGGGCCACAAGAUCUAAAGUAUUUACUCUGGCCCUUGAUGGAAGAAACUUGUCCACCGAGCCCUAGAGCUGCACUUCCAAUAUGGUAGCCAUUGGCCAUAUGUGGAUAUUUCAAUUUAAAUUCAUUAAAAUUAAAUAAAAUUAAUAUUUCAGUUCUUCAACUCCAAAAAUUACAUUUUGAGUACUCAGUAGCCAUGAGUCGCUGGUGACUCUCCUAUCAGCCCAGAUACAGAACACUGCCAUCUUCACAGGAAGUUCUGUUGGAUGGUGCUGCACUAUAGGCUUCAGCUUCUGGGUAAAACU